rnacentral:lncRNA from 1 species
CCAAGUCUUCAUUCAGCUUUUCAAUUUCUUUGUUGAGAGUCUUGAUUAUAUCCAGACAUUCAUUCUUCUCGACCUGAAGUUGACAAUUUGUCUCCUUUUGUUUUUCCAAGGCUUUGCAGAAUUCAUUGCUCCUGAUGAAUAAGUCCUUAUAGGUAGCCAGAAGUUCUUCAUAUGAUGUUUCAUCGCAUGAUUCAGCAUCAGAUUCAUAGACACCUGUCAAUGCAUUGACAAGUUUUGCAGAUUCACCU